rnacentral:rRNA from 1 species
AGGACGAACGCUAGCGGCGUGUUUGAAACAUGCAAGUCGAACGGAAGAGGCAGCAAUGCCUUGAGAGUGGCGAACGGGUGCGUAACACGUAAAGAACCUAUCCUUUAGCGGGGGAUAGCCCUUAGAAAUGAGGGGUAAUACCGCAUAAGGUAUAAACCACGCAUGUGGAUUAUAGGAAAGGGUUAUGUAAAUAACUCACUAGAGGAGGGCUUUGCGGCCUAUCAGGUAGUUGGUGGGUAAAGGCCUACCAAGCCAAAGACGGGUAGCUGGUCUGAGAGGAUGGUCAGCCACACUGGGACUGAGAUACGGCCCAGACUCCUACGGGGGCAGCAGUUUAGAAUAUUGUGCAAUGGGCGAAAGCCUGACACAGCGACGCCGCGUGGGUGAUGAAGGCCUUAGGGUCGUAAAGCCCUGUUGGUAGGGAUGAGUAAGGACAGUACCUACCGAGGAAGCCCGGCUAACUACGUGCCAGCAGCCGC